UUCUUUAAGAAAAAAUUUAAAGUAAUGUCUGCUCAAUGCUCAGUAAAUAGCUGCAGGAGACUGUACUAAGGUAGCAUAAUCAUUAGAUUAUUUAUUGUAAUCAAGAAUAAAAGACAAAAUGAAUAAUAUAUUUUCUUCUUAAAAAAAUUCUAACCUUAUUUUCUUGUUAAAAAGCAAAAAUUCUAUUUAGGGACAAGAAGACCCUAAGAAGCUUUAAAUUAUAAGAAUUUAUAUUUUAAUAAUUUUCUGUUGGGGCAACAUUUUUUAAGAAAAUACAAAUAUUAAUCCAAGAUUCUUGCAAAGAAGAAAAAGUUACUCUAGGGAUAACAGCACAAUAAAAGAUAAAGAGACCCUAUCUUCAUCUUUGAUUAUGACCUCGAUGUUGGAUCAAUUUUUCUACUUGAUGAAAAAGUCAAUUAAGAAAGUCUGUUCGACUUUUAAAAAAUUACG
rnacentral:rRNA from 1 species